rnacentral:misc_RNA from 1 species
CCGCUAGACGUCUCUGUUCAAGGGGAACUCAUAGUUGGCCUUGGAUUCGAAGAGAAAUUUAAGGCCUUUUUGUACAAAGGGGCGCUUAGACAUAUCAACUAUGGCGGCUGAUUAAUAGUUAACGAAAACGUAGUUGUAGCUUUUAUUGAUCAACUGCAAUCUCAGUGCACCGAUCCAUGGGUUGUGAUUCAUCAAUUGUUCACCUGUUGACGCGGAAUCCAAUCCAGAUUGAUCAUGAAAGCGGGUGGGAAUGGAGAGCGAGCGCCGCUAAGGACAGUGCUGCAGAACUUUCUUAAUCAUGUUGAAACAUUGGAGAAGAGGAAAAAUGGAGGAGAUGAUCAAUAUGAUAAAGAAUUCCAAGAGCUUAAACUCUUGAGUGAAAGCCUUAAAGGGAUGUCAAUGUAUUCGUGUAAAGAAGGUGAAAAAGAAGUGAACAGAAGAAAAAAUAGAUACAAAGAUAUUUUACCUUUUGAUUGCACAAGAGUGAUUCUAACUGAAAUUGAUGGAAUCCCUGGAAGUGAUUAUAUCAAUGCAAACUAUAUUCGAGGUGCCAGUGGUUCCCAGGCUUACAUAGCCAGUCAAGGUCCUUUGGUUCACACAGUUACUGAUUUCUGGAGGAUGGUAGUUGAAUGUGAUGUUCAGGUUAUCAUCAUGGCUUGUAAUGAAGAAGAGUCAGGUAAGCACAAAUGUGAAUGCUAUUGGGCUGAAAGUGAUCAAGAAACUAGAUCGUAUGGACCCUACACUGUCAAACUUCUGAAAUCAAGACGAAUGUGCAAUGACUUUAAUCUUCGGACCAUGGAACUUAUUUACGUGAAUUCAACCGGAGAAACAAUUACGAGAACCGUUGUGCAGUUUCACUAUUGGGCGUGGCCAGAUCAUGGAGUUCCGGCUUUGGUACGCCCUUUGCUUGAUAUGGUGCGAUUAAUUCGCGAUUGUCAAGCCUCAGAGACUCUUCCGUUGUUGAUUCAUUGUUCGGCUGGAUGUGGGCGGACUGGAACCAUCUGUGCAAUCGAUUACGUUUGGGGUCUACUUCGUGCUGGGAAAUUGAUGGAGAACUUUAGUUUGUUUGAACUUAUUUCCGAUAUGCGGCGCCAACGUGUUGCUAUGGUUCAAACCAAAGAUCAGUACAUUCUCGUGCAUCGAGCCCUACGAGAACUUUUUAUCGAACAACUUAAAAUGAUAGACGCGCAUCCGUAUGAGAAUUUGGACGUCAAUGGCCAUCCAUUGAUUUGUCCACCACAAGAAAUUCGGAUUGAUCCUAGCUACGAAACCAUUUUCGUGAAAGUUAACUCAACUGUUUCUGAAGUCAAUGAAGAAGAUGACAUUUGUCAGGAGGAGUCUAUUGACCAAAUUCCUUGGCCUGUUCUGCAAUUCCAGUCUAAUUCAGCUGCGAUAACGUCGGCCCCUCCGUUACCGGACAAAAAGAAGAAAUCGGGUGGAACUUCAUCGGGGCAAGGAUCCCCCGUUUCCAAUCCUGGCGACGCGAAGAAAGCAGUUAGUGUUGGCAGCAGUGGAAGCUCAAAAGAAUCAAGUCCUCCGACCAGUCUUGAUCGUAUUGUAUUGAAGUCGUCUGACACGGAACUAUCCAACGAUAAUGUAAAAGAAGAAGAAGAAGUCACUAAACAAAAAGCGUCUCCAAAAUCUGGUCUGUCGCGUAAAUCCAGCAUUUUAAAAAUCCGUGCCUUCUUCGAGAAAUCCCAUUCGGAACCACGCAGCGAAAAGAAAUCAAACCUGGCCGGCACUCGGAAAGCAAGUUCCUUUCGAAUUCGAGAUGGUCCUAGAUUUUAUCGCUCACUGGAAGACGAGCAUUCGAGUUCUUCGUCAGAGAAGGCGAAAAAAGAAUCAAAUGAAAACUUUUCACCCCAAAAACUGACGGUUGCUCAGGGCACGGAAUUAGCUGGGGUAGAUGGACCACCGACUAAAAAAGAAACUCAGUUUUUAUCCCCUUCGAAUGUCGAAAGAAAGGUGGACGAGAAACCGUCUCUGCCUGUAAAGCGAAGCAAAUCUAUGAAGGUUUACAGAGGCUUUGACAUUCGCUCGGAAUCGAAUGAAUCUGUUGCAUCAAAAGCAUCUCAGCCACAUGUGGAGAGCAUCUCAACCGCAAUCAUCCGGGAGGUUACAGUUCCUGCGACGUGUGGUGUCGUCCUCAGCAAGACUCCAUCCGUCACUUACAUAUCUUCCAAAGAUAAACUGUAUAAACCCACAAUGGAGAAUACGACGAAGCAAGUCCGAAAAAAUUCUGACCGCAGUCCUAGUUAUGAAACGUCCUUGCCUUUGGCGACCAGUAGUUUGGAUCGGGGGAAGGAGCAACGGUUCGCUAAACCGACGUCGCUCUCACUAGCGCCAACAACAUGUGGUUCACUUGAUCGUGGAGUUGUCGAAAGCAAAAUAACGCCAACUUAUGUUAAUGUCCUGAUGCGCAACCAGGAAGUUGCAAACACCUCCAAGUUGGAUAACGACACACGUCAGUUGCUGCACGAUUGUCAAGCAUAUCUCAUGGACGGAGAUGGAAGUGAAUUAGUACUGCCACGCGAAGAUAAAGUUCAGCGAUCUACUCCGCAUGUAAAGAAGCAUAAAAAUCAGCAAUUGAAGGAGAGGCGGCAUAGUUUCAAAAACGCUGUUGUUCAACAUCCAGAGCAAUCGGAGUCGCCAGCAGUAUCUUUGGCAAUGGACGUGGGAGAGGAGAAUUACGCCACUUUAGAAAGCUUCGAGAGGGUCACACAACUUGACGAUGAAGAGCCGUCUAGAAGUCGGAGCGGAAGAAAGAUCCAUGAGUAUGAAGCUAUUUGGUUGAGUUCAAAGAAGCCAACUGCCGUGGGUUCCGAAUCAGUUGGUGAAAAUACUGACAGCACAGCUGGCGCGGAAACUAAAGAUUCCGUCUUUGUACAAAAAUCGGAUGAAAUUCGGCUCUUACUUAGCGAAUUACAGAGCUCUCAUUCUGACGGUGAACCAAGACAGCCAUCUCCAGUUGUAGCGCCAACGCCAACCUAUAAUUUUCUAACUCAAACGGAGAAUCCCGCAAGUCCUCGUUUGCAUCCCGAUCGGGUGUUGAGCGAAUUGCAAGAGCUGGUGGAACGUGCCAACCGAAAUAAAGAAGAAACAACCAAAUCGGAGGCUUUCAUUCUCCCUACACUACCACUUUCUACGCUUCAAAGAGUCAGCCCGUCUUCGCCAUCUGUGCAGCUCAAUCCUUUGCGCCUUAAUCCUCAACUCCCUGCAUCCCAAAAGGAUGUCCCUUCGCCAACCAGUCCAUGUUCGACUAAGUUUUUCAUCCCUGUGCCUUCCUCUAUUUCGAGUAUCCCUACGCCUGGCUUAAUUUCACCCAUUCCAAUCAAAAUUACUCCAUCCGCUCCUUCUUCGCCCAUGGCCCCCUCCUACAGUGCGGCAGUAGGAGCAUGCAGAUCAUCCCCCAGUUCUACCGACGCAACCCAUCAGCCCGUCACCUCUAAUAUUUCUAUCACAAGGAUGUCUCCCAAAGCCGAUUCACAGCCGAUAGCCUCUGUUGCCUUAACCAAAACCGAGCCGAAAGCUCCCGCUUUUCGCCCGCCGCCUCCGUAUCCAACGAAAUUUUAUGUCAAAUUGCCGUCCGUUUCGAAAGAAGUGACAUCAGUUGCUUCAACCAGCGCUGUAAAUCAAAUCAAGUUAUCGCCUCAAAUUCAGCGAAGAAUGCCACCAGAGUAUAAGGCACCUCCGCCGGUCAAGCUUCUUAGCCAAGCCAAGCCAACUCAGCCCGUUGCGCCUCCGCGUUCCAAACGACAAGUAGCCAGUUCAUCACAGCUCCCUGCGAUGGUUGCAUUCCCUAAAGGUCCACCGAUUCCAACACGAACCUUUUCAUCAACUUCACUUCCUGGUAUCGAUGUAGACGCUGUGGCUGCUGUCAUGGCAGCAGCCGAGAAUUCAUCCGCUAGAGGAUCAUCUUCCGGUGGAUCCUCGUCGCCAACUACUGCGGCCAACAAAGCCCUGAGCAAAGCUUUGGGUAAAUUUCAUGCCACUGCUGCAAGUUUCAAGACUAAACUUGCACAGUUAAGUGACGGAAAAGAUGGUGGGGGAGAAGUUUCCGCGUUACCAGGUUCUCAGUCGAAAUUGGAACGGGAAUCCAGCUUCGUGAAGCAAGGAGCCGGUAACAAAAUGCUUUCGGAACAGACUUCAAUGGAUCAUUAUAAUGACAAUUUUCGCCUUACCCAUGCAGAUGGAGCAGCGAUGACGAACACGGCGGAAGCGACUUCGUAUGCGAGAAAGAAACAGCAUUAUCUGUGAUGAAGCAAUCAGUUGGGCAAUUCAGUCGGCCGCACACAUUUUAAAUGCCUUCGCAAUCAUUCAAUUCACAGGUGGCCUUUCAAAUCCGAUCAAUAACCGUUUCGCAAUUAUACAACGUCCUUAAUUUCCAUAAAAUACGACUAGCUAAAUUGUUUUACUUUGUACAGAAUCUUUUCCCUAUAGAGCCUUUUGCAACAAAUUUUCGCGCAAUAGCGUCUUCAUGACAUUUACCUUGUAUUUGUGAAUAAAAUUAGCCUUCCCUGCUAGCAUGUUGUUUCUAAAAUAAUAUUGUGUCGAAUUGUAAUUAAGGGCUUUCCUGCAAUAAACAAUGUGUUAACGGCUA